rnacentral:pre_miRNA from 1 species
CAGGGUUGGGGUCUCAGAAGGCAGAAUUCUUGGUGCAUCUCCACCAUGGCCUUGGUUCUGCUCCUCCUCACCCUCCUCACUAAGGACACAGGUGA